GGAGGUGGUAAUAUCUCCGAUCGAGGACGGUUAGAGAGAGAGAGAGAGAGAGAGAGAGAGAGAGAGAGAGAGAGAGAGAGAGAGAGAGAGAGAGAGAGAGAGAGAGAGAGAGAGAGAGAGAGAGAGAGAGAUUUGGGACUGGGUAAGAUGGGUUUAGAGAAAAACAGGGUCCAAACCAGCGUCUCGUAGUCGCGGAGGACAUACGAAGCCUUGUUCAAUUUUUCGCAUCAUCCAAUCUGUCGGGUUCUUCUUAAAGGUUUUUAUUUUUUUUAGCUACCGAGUAUGAAACCCCAAAGAAUGCAUUAAAUCAGGAAUGGUAUCAUACCUUUGAAGUAGCAUGUCAAGUUUUCUGCGCAUACUUUAAACAAAUAUCGAUUUGUUAAUCAAGAUGGUAUCUUCAAGAACUAGCUGUUUAUGUUCCUCGCAUUUGUUACUUAGCUUUCCAAUGCCUUAUGCGACGCGUGAGCAUCUCACAAUAAACUCUGUAAAAUGUCAUUGUUUAAAUAGAAUAAGUAUGGAUUGUUAAGUUCGGGAAAUUGAAGAGAACUCAAAACUUUUAGUGUUAAUAAAUAAAAGGGGGGAUUUAAAGAAUAUUUAUCCAACUAUUACGUAAAAUGAAAUUUAAACUAAUGUGUACAAGAUCAUCUUCUCUUUUACCAAACAAAACUAAAUUUACCAAUGUACCACAUAAUUACAAGUUUGGUUAUAACAUGUAUUCUAACAUAUUUGAUCAUAAUUUUAGACAACGAUACAAUUAGAGUCUUAGGGGAAUCAUCUAAUCAUGCAAGAUUUCCAUUGUCGUUUAGGUUGACUUAGGGCGUCACUUAAAUUGCAUGUAGUCACGUUUAAAAACACUUAGAUUAGAAAUCAAACAAGAUCACAUUAAAACACCAAAUAUUUGUCGGAGACAUGUUAAUACGGUGACGUCACUCACCAUGAAAUACACGUAAAUUUCUAGAAUUUUGCACUUUAAUUAACACGAACUAAAUCUACUUAGGGCAUGAUUCGAUUUGUAUCAAUAUGGUUGAUAAAAAUAACACUCAAACGUAAUCUUAAGGACUAUUCAAACACUAAAUAUAAUAUUAAAAUUUUGAGAAAAACAAAACCAUUGUUUCAACAUAGACAACAAACUACAAUAUUCACAUACAAAGAAUUGUAGAAUAACAAAAAUAAAUAAAGUCAUGAAGAUAAAUCGCGAGAAUUACAUG